rfam:Trypanosoma vivax Y486, WGS project CAEX01000000 data, contig: 4607
CACGUGACAAUCCGAGGUGCGUGCGCGUCUUCCAUGCCACGUGAUUUCCUUCUGGUAGUCGCGGAGAUGC